GCUGCCGGACGGGUAGUCGCUCCCAUUUUUGGGAGAGGAAAGUCCGGUCUCCAUAGGGCAGCGUGCCGGCUAACGGCCGGGCGGAUCGUAAGGUCCGACGGAUAGUGCCACAGAAAAUAUACCGCCUCGCCUUCGGGCGCGGUAAGGGUGAAAUGGUGCGGUAAGAGCGCACCGCGGCAGGAGUAAUUCUGCCGGCAGGGAAAACCCCACGCGGAGCAAGACCAAAUAGGGGAGGAGGGGCGGCCCGUCCCGCUUGACUUCCGGGUAGGUCGCUAGAACCGGUCAGUAAUGGCCGGUCCAGAGGAAUGACUACCGCCCGCAAGGGUACAGGAACCGGCUUACAGUCCGGCAGCUAAU
rnacentral:RNase_P_RNA from 20 species